GACGAACGCUGGCGGCGUGCUUAACACAUGCAAGUCGAACGGAAAGGCCCUGCUUUUGUGGGGUGCUCGAGUGGCGAACGGGUGAGUAACACGUGAGUAACCUGCCCUUGACUUUGGGAUAACUUCAGGAAACUGGGGCUAAUACCGGAUAGGAGCUCCUGCUGCAUGGUGGGGGUUGGAAAGUUUCGGCGGUUGGGGAUGGACUCGCGGCUUAUCAGCUUGUUGGUGGGGUAGUGGCUUACCAAGGCUUUGACGGGUAGCCGGCCUGAGAGGGUGACCGGCCACAUUGGGACUGAGAUACGGCCCAGACUCCUACGGGAGGCAGCAGUGGGGAAGAUUGCACAAUGGGAGGAAGCCUGAUGCAGCAAAGCCGCGUGCGGGAUGACGGCCUUCGGGUUGUAAACCGCUUUCGCCUGUGACGAAGCGUGAGUGACGGUAAUGGGUAAAGAAGCACCGGCUAACUACGUG
rnacentral:rRNA from 1 species